CUCCCAAAGAGUAACGGAGGCGCUCAAAGGUCCGCUCAGCCCGGUUGGCAAUCGGGUUUCGAGUGUAAUCGCACAAGCGGGCUUGACUGCGAGAACGACGGUUCGGGCAGGGACGAAAGUCGGAGAUAGUGAUCCGGUGCCGGCGCACGGGCGCGGCAUCGCUCAACGGAUAAAAGGUACCCCGGGGAUAACAGGCUGAUCAUUCCCAAGAGUCCAUAUCGACGGAUGGUUUGGCACCUCGAUGUCGGCUCGUCGCAUCCUGGGGCUGGAGCAGGUCCCAAGGGUUCGGCUGUUCGCCGAUUAAAGCGGCACGCGAGCUGGGUUCAGAACGUCGUGAGACAGUUUGGUCUCUAUCCUCUGCGCUCGUUGGAAUCCUGAGGAGGCCUGCCCAUAGUACGAGAGGACCUGGGUGGACGGACCUCUGGUAUGCCGGUUGUCGCGCCAGCGGCAUGGCCGGUUGGCUACGUUCGGGAGGGAUAACCGCUGAAAGCAUCUAAGCGGGAAGCCUGCUCCAAGAUUAGGAUUCCUUGACGCUCCCCGGAG
rnacentral:rRNA from 1 species